rnacentral:rRNA from 1 species
UAAUAGUGUAUAUUAAAGUUGUUGCAGUUAAAAAGCUCGUAGUUGAAUGUUGGUGUCGAACGAGCGGUCAGCUUCGGCUGUACUGCUCUCUCGACUCCUUCCUUCUGUGGACUACGUCGCACUUUACUGUGUGGCGCUAGGACGCAGAUCGUUUACUGUGAAAAAAUUAGAGUGUUCAAAGCAGGCCGUACGCUUGAAUACAUUAGCAUGGAAUAAUGGAAUAGGACGUCGGGCCUAUUUUGUUGGUUCUAGGACCGUCGUAAUGAUUAAUAGGGACAGUUGGGGCCGUUUAUAUUCCGUAGUCAGAGGUGAAAUUCUUGGAUUUACGGAAAAUAAACUACUGCGAAAGCAUUCGGCAAGGAUGUUUNCGUUA